rnacentral:lncRNA from 1 species
GCUCUUAUUUCAUUUUAUGAUAAAAAUCCCAAAGCUUAACAAUUUUUGGUGCAUUCAGUGUGCUUUUGAUUAUGGCCACCAAGUAUUUGGAUAUGUAGAAACACCUCAAAGGUGAAAUUUUAUAGACAAGCAAGGGAAGAAGGCUAGAAUGAUACAGGUGGUAAUGGAUUAAAAUUGGAAAUAUCAGUAUGAACUCAAAUUUAGCUUAAUAUGGAUACAAAUGGAUAUAUAUUUAUAGAUAUUUGUGUGUAUAUAAUAUGUAUACAUAUUAUGUAUGUACACAUGAAACACACAUGCAUGUAUUUUGUUGGUCUGUCAGCUGAGAGGGCCUAAAGGCAACAAUAUCCCA